rnacentral:lncRNA from 1 species
GGCCACCUGUGCUCUGCUGCCCUGACCAAGACGACACUUGUUCCAGAGGAUGUUACUGUGACCAAUACUGUUUGGAAGCUAGAGAUUGUUGCCCUGAUUAUAAUUUAACCUGUCAACUAUCUUUAACCACUGCACCAAUAAGAGGACCGGAUAAAACCAGCAACAGCACAACUAGAAUGACAAACACCACACAAAUGUCUCCAUCUACAGAAUUGUCAACAUGGAGAGGAAACUCCACAACAUCAUCUUCACCAUUUCAAGAGACCACAACGACACAACCCACCUCUGCCACUAAUGCAAACACCCAAACACACAAUGAUACAUCUGCACUUGGAUAUGACAGCCCAACUACAUCCAUACCUGUAACUGCAGCACCCAGCACAACAGACAUCAACCCGUCUUUUUUGCAUAAUGUUACAACCUCUGAAUCAACAUCACUUAAUACGACAUCAGGAAUCCUUGAUGGAAACACAACAACUACACCCACAGUGAAGAAUUAUACAACAGCCAGCACAACUACUCACAUUACAACAAACGCAUUGACAUCAUCCACAUUAUCAGCUACUCUAACAACCAACCAACCAAGUCCCAAUACCACAUAUAAUAGCACACAUUCACCAUCAGUUAACAUUUCAACUACAUCUGCAGACACUUCAACAGUUGCCUCUGGUUCAAAAACCAGCAGUACUUCCACAACACAACUGGAUGUCACUCCAUGGCCAACACAGACAGAGUCAUCUAAUACCGCUGUUAGCCAAGGAAACAGCAUCAGCACAACGACAGAUUCUGAUAGGACCAAAACAUCAAUCUCCACCCAUUCAGGAGAAGCAACACAAUCGAGGACCACAAACCUGCAGACCAGCAGUUCCACAUCUCCACUGGGAGACUCCACCACCAGCAGCACCAGCUUAAACAAUGGUACCAUUAGUAAACUGAGCAUCAAUGAUUCACAAAAAAAAAUUCACAGAAUUUCCCAUUUUUCAAAAGGGAAAAUCAUGUCCGUUGACUCUCUUUACAGAUUUCCAAACAGUGAUCUUUCACCUCAAUGCCUACAUUUUAUCUUCUAAUGGUGACAGUGAAGAUGUGAUUUUAGAGGCUUUCUCUAAUGACCUGCAUGCUUCCAGGACUACCCUAAAGUCAGGAGGAGAGAUUGUGGUCGACCGCUCCCACCCUGGAGCCAGGAUCUUCAUCACCAAAGCAAAAAAACCUAAUCUAAGAGUCAUGUAAAUACAAAACCAGAUUAACUUAUAUACCUGUUAUCAUACCUGUCAAGUAUCCCAUUUUGGCCGGGAAACUCCCGUAUUUUACCCCUCUUUCCCGCCAUCUUCUCGUAUUAGUAUUUUCCCAUAAAUAUCCCCUAUUUUAAUGUAAUAAUAAUUAAAAGAUGCCUUACUAAACUGAACGACAUCACUAGCCUCGCAAGAACUGCCACAUGAAAUGGUCUGGCUUGGUGGCAGUUCUCGCGAUAUUAGUGCCGACAGAGGCAACGAACCAGGAAACAACUCAGAACAGAGAUGAUGAAUGAAGAUGUUCCGGCAAAAAAAAAAAAAACAACUUGUGUAAAUACGUUGUAAAAUGUAACAGAGUUUAUCUUCCUAAAGAGCAACAGGAUGGGACAGAUCAGUAAAUUAGAUUUUAGCGUCUCCCACAGUGGAAGGAACAACGUAAGUCACCAUGAAAAAUCAGCCAAUCACAAGCGCCACAAAUAUACACUGCUUUAAAAAAGUGUUAAAUGAUGUAAAGUCUGUAAUAAAUGUGUCUAAUAAGUCA